rnacentral:rRNA from 1 species
GUCCACGCCCUAAACGAUGUCUACUAGUUGUCGGGUCUUAAUUGACUUGGUAACGCAGCUAACGCGUGAAGUAGACCGCCUGGGGAGUACGGUCGCAAGAUUAAAACUCAAAGGAAUUGACGGGGACCCGCACAAGCGGUGGAUGAUGUGGAUUAAUUCGAUGCAACGCGAAAACCUUACCUACCCUUGACAUGGCUGGAAUCCUAGAGAGAUUUGGGAGUGCCCGAAAGGGAACCAGUACACAGGUGCUGCAUGGCUGUCGU